rnacentral:rRNA from 1 species
CACGUAGUUAGCCGGGGCUUCUUGGUCGGGUACCGUCCGCGGCUCUCGCGAACCGUGUUUCUUCCCCGCUGACAGAGCUUUACGCGCCGAAACGCUUCUUCACUCACGCGGCGUCGCUGCAUCAGGGUUUCCCCCAUUGUGCAAUAUUCCCCACUGCUGCCCCCCGUAGGAGUUUGGGCCGUGUCUCAGUCCCAAUGUGGCCGUCCGCCCUCUCAGGCCGGCUACUGAUCGUCGCCUUGGUGGGCCGUUACCCCGCCAACCAGCUAAUCAGACGCGGGUCCAUCCCGUACCACCGGAGUUUUCAAGAAGGACAUGCGUCCCCUUCUGUUAUGCGGUAUUAGCACCUGUUUCCAGGUCGUUAUCCCCCGGUACGGGGCAGGUUCCCCACGCGUUACUCACCCGUCCGCCACUAAGGCCCGCGCCUUCCGGGUCUGGUAACCAUCCCCUUCCGCCGCUGGCCCCCGUUCGACCUUGCACUGUCGUUACGGCACGCCGCCACGCCGUUCACUCCUGACGCCCGAGGACUCCAAACUCCU